rnacentral:tRNA from 1 species
GGCUCAGUGGUCUAGGGGUUAAGCGUUCGCGUGCAAGAUCAAAGGUCCUGGGUUCGAUUCCCGUGAGCGGAGUC